CCUACGGGUGGCAGCAGUGGGGAAUAUUGCGCAAUGGGCGAAAGCCUGACGCAGCGACGCCGCGUGAGGGAUGAAGGUCUUCGGAUCGUAAACCUCUGUCAGCAGGGAAGAACGGUCACUGUGCUAAUCAGCAGUGCAUUGACGGUACCUGCAAAGGAAGCACCGGCUAACUCCGUGCCAGCAGCCGCGGUAAUACGUCGGGUGCGAGCGUUAAUCGGAAUUACUGGGCGUAAAGCGCUCGUAGGCGGUAUGUCACGUCAAGGGUGAAAUCCCCGCGCUCAACGUGGGAACUGCCUUUGAAACUGGCAAACUGGAGUGUAGGAGAGGAUGGUGGAAUUCCAGGUGUAGGGGUGAAAUCCGUAGAUAUCUGGAGGAACAUCAGUGGCGAAGGCGACUAUCUGGCACAUAACUGACGCUGAGGAGCGAAAGCGUGGGUAGCAAACAGGAUUAGAUACCCGUGUAGUC
rnacentral:rRNA from 1 species